rnacentral:rRNA from 2 species
AGUCGAACGAAACUUCUUUAUCACCGAGUGCUUGCACUCACCGAUAAAGAGUUGAGUGGCGAACGGGUGAGUAACACGUGGGCAACCUGCCCAAAAGAGGGGGAUAACACUUGGAAACAGGUGCUAAUACCGCAUAACCAUAGUUACCGCAUGGUAACUAUGUAAAAGGUGGCUAUGCUACCGCUUUUGGAUGGGCCCGCGGCGCAUUAGCUAGUUGGUGAGGUAAAGGCUUACCAAGGCAAUGAUGCGUAGCCGAACUGAGAGGUUGAUCGGCCACAUUGGGACUGAGACACGGCCCAAACUCCUACGGGAGGCAGCAGUAGGGAAUCUUCCACAAUGGGCGAAAGCCUGAUGGAGCAACGCCGCGUGGGUGAAGAAGGUCUUCGGAUCGUAAAACCCUGUUGUUAGAGAAGAAAGUGCGUGAGAGUAACUGUUCACGUUUCGACGGUAUCUAACCAGAAAGCCACGGCUAACUACGUGCCAGCAGCCGCGGUAAUACGUAGGUGGCAAGCGUUAUCCGGAUUUAUUGGGCGUAAAGGGAACGCAGGCGGUCUUUUAAGUCUGAUGUGAAAGCCUUCGGCUUAACCGGAGUAGUGCAUUGGAAACUGGGAGACUUGAGUGCAGAAGAGGAGAGUGGAACUCCAUGUGUAGCGGUGAAAUGCGUAGAUAUAUGGAAGAACACCAGUGGCGAAAGCGGCUCUCUGGUCUGUAACUGACGCUGAGGUUCGAAAGCGUGGGUAGCAAACAGGAUUAGAUACCCUGGUAGUCCACGCCGUAAACGAUGAAUGCUAAGUGUUGGAGGGUUUCCGCCCUUCAGUGCUGCAGCUAACGCAAUAAGCAUUCCGCCUGGGGAGUACGACCGCAAGGUUGAAACUCAAAGGAAUUGACGGGGGCCCGCACAAGCGGUGGAGCAUGUGGUUUAAUUCGAAGCAACGCGAA